rnacentral:rRNA from 1 species
GUCCACGCCGUAAACGAUGAAUGCUAGCCGUCGGUGAGCUUGCUCUUCGGUGGCGCAGCCAACGCAAUAAGCAUUCCGCCUGGGGAGUACGAUCGCAAGAUUAAAACUCAAAGGAAUUGACGGGGGCCCGCACAAGCGGUGGAGCAUGUGGUUCAAUUCGAAGCAACGCGCAGAACCUUACCAGGCCUUGACAUCCCGGUCGCGGCCCCCUUGAAAGAGGGGCCUUCAGUUCGGCUGUACCGGUGACAGGUGCUGCAUGGCUGUCGU